rnacentral:tRNA from 1 species
GAGGGUAUGGCUCAGUGGUAGAGCGCAUGCUUAGCAUGCAUGGGGUCUAGCUUCAACCCCCAGUAUCUCCA